GAUUUCUGGCACGGUGCGCUUGGCCGGCGGCGUUAGCUUGCCUGUGCCUUGUCGCGCCUGUCAUCCUUCUAGAAAGCGGUGCUACCCCUCACGGGGCCGGCACUUGUCGAUCUAGAUCUUUUACUUUGAAAAAAUUAGAGUGUUUCAAGCAGGCGUUGGCUAUGAAUACAUUAGCAUGGAAUAAUCAACUAGGACUUCGGUUUAAUUUUGUUGGUUUCUUAUGACUGAAGUAAUGAUUGAUAGGGAUAGUUGGGGGUGCUCGUAUUCAGCGGCCAGAGGUGAAAUUCUCGGAUUCGCUGAAGACGAACUACUGCGAAAGCAUU
rnacentral:rRNA from 1 species